rnacentral:lncRNA from 1 species
CACCGCAGGGCCUUUACACUUGCUGCAUCUCUAUUGUCCUUACCUAGGGUAAUUUUUCUCUAGAGCACAGGCCUCAUAGAACAUACUCAGGCGCUGCAGGUGAUUCAACCGCCUCUUUUGUGCAGGAUGACCGCCAGUCUGGGUUUCUGGGGCCAGGUACCCUCGGGAGACACUGUUGGCCCUACCAUGUUCCACGCCGGCCCACUGUCCACUUGUUCAGUGUGCCUUGUCGAGUCUGCAGGCCCACCUGAACAAUGCAGCCCACUCCCUGUGGGCUGGCUGCUCCUGCUUGCUGGCUGAGGCCCUCCCUAGGUUGAUGCCACCUCCAUGCCAGUCACCAGCGUUAUUAUCAUCAGGCCCAUGCUCAUCUUUGA